rnacentral:sRNA from 2 species
GGACAGUCAUCGCCGAGUCCCCGUACGGCGCGAGCCAGGGGAGCCGGGGACCCAACAGUCCCUGGGGUGAAUCGGGUGCCCUUCACGAAGCUCCACGAUGUGAGGGGUCUCCGUAGGAGACCUUCCUGCUCCGAACCCGUCAGCUAACCCGGUAGGCGAGAGGGAAGGAAAGG